UGCCUACGGGGCGCAGCAGUGAGGAAUAUUGGUCAAUGGUCGGGAGACUGAACCAGCCAAGCCGCGUGAGGGAUGAAGGUACAGAGUAUCGUAAACCUCUUUUGUCAGGGAACAAAGGCGGGGACGCGUCCCCGGAUGAGUGUACCUGAAGAAAAAGCAUCGGCUAACUCCGUGCCAGCAGCCGCGGUAAUACGGAGGAUGCGAGCGUUAUCCGGAUUUAUUGGGUUUAAAGGGUGCGCAGGCGGAUUUUUAAGUCAGCGGUCAAAUCGUGGGGCUCAACCCCAUCCAGCCGUUGCAACUGGGGA
rnacentral:rRNA from 1 species